CCUACGGGUGGCAGCAGUGGGGAAUAUUGCGCAAUGGGCGCAAGCCUGACCCAGCAACGCCGCGUGAACGAAGAAGGCUUUCGGGUUGUAAACUUCUUUUGUCAGGGAAGAGUAGAAGACGGUACCUGACGAAUAAGCCACGGCUAACUACGUGCCAGCCGGCGCGGUAAUACGUAGGUGGCAAGCGGUGUCCGGAUUUACUGGGUGUAAAGGGCGUGUAGCCGGGUUGACAAGUCAGAUGUGAAAUCCUGCGGCUGAACCGCAAAACUGCAUUUGAAACUGUUGAUCUUGAGUACUGGAGAGGCAGACGGAAUUCCUAGUGUAGCGGUGAAAUGCGUAGAUAUUAGGAGGAACACCAGUGGCGAAGGCGGUCUGCUGGACAGUAACUGACGGUGAGGCGCGAAAGCGUGGGGAGCAAACAGGAUUAGAUACCCCUGUAGUC
rnacentral:rRNA from 1 species